rnacentral:rRNA from 1 species
UACGUAGGGGGCAAGCGUUGUCCGGAUUUACGGGGCGUAAAGAGCGUGUAGGCGGCCAAGCAGGUCCGUUGUGAAAACUGGAGGCUUAACCUCCAGACGUCGACGGAAACCGCGUGGCUAGAGUCCGGAAGAGGAGAGUGGAAUUCCUGGUGUAGCGGUGAAAUGCGCAGAUAUCAGGAAGAACACCAAUGGCGAAGGCAGCUCUCUGGGACGGUACUGACGCUGAGACGCGAAAGCGUGGGGAGCGAACAGG